rfam:Anabaena sp. 90 chromosome chANA01, complete sequence.
GUCAGUAACUCAGUCCUAAAGAGACUGAGCUUGUAAGAAAUUGCAAGCUGUACUGACCAGUCUAAGUCUUCACUGACUACGUUUUUUGAGUCACGACACCCUGGAAUGCGUAGCUAGUUCCCUGCUCUGUCGCUUGUGAUUAAACAGUUUCAAGGUCACUGAAACAGUGUUGCAAGCCUAAAAAGCUCUUAAAACAUUGACGUUCGCGCAAGCGUGCCGGAG